rnacentral:rRNA from 1 species
UACGGAGGGUGCGAGCGUUGUCCGGAAUCACUGGGCGUAAAGGGCGCGUAGGCGGCUUCUCAAGCGUGUGGUGAAAGUCCGGGGCUCAACCCCGGAUCGGCCGUGCGGACUGGCGUGCUCGAGCACUGUAGGGGCGGGUGGAAUUCCGGGUGUAGCGGUGGAAUGCGUAGAGAUCCGGAAGAACACCGGUGGCGAAGGCGGCCGCUGGGCAGGAAGGCUCGCAAGAGCCGGCUGACGCUGAGGCGCGACAGCGUGGGGAGCAAACAGG